GAUGAAGAACGUAGCGAAAUGCGAUACGUAAUGUGAAUUGCAGAAUUCAGUGAAUCAUCGAGUCUUUGAACGCACAUUGCGCCCCCUGGUAUUCCGGGGGGCAUGCCUGUCCGAGCGUCAUUGCUGCCCUCAAGCACGGCUUGUGUGUUGGGCCUCCGUCCUCCUCCCGGGGGACGGGCCCGAAAGGCAGCGGCGGCACCGCGUCCGGUCCUCGAGCGUAUGGGGCUUCGUCACCCGCUCUUGUAGGCCCGGCCGGCGCUUGCCGACACAUCAAUCUUUUUUCCAGGUUGACCUCAAAUCAGGUAAGGAUACCCGCUGAACUUAAGCAUAUCAAUAAGCGGAGGA
rnacentral:misc_RNA from 1 species